rnacentral:snRNA from 1 species
UCAGCAGCAGUCUUCGCAUUGCGUACCAAUCUUUCGCCUUUUACUAAAGAUUGCCGUGUGUCGACUGCAUCAUUGCAGUUUAACCAAUUUUUGUGGCAUUUGCAUGCCAACUGU